rnacentral:rRNA from 1 species
GACGAACGCUGGCGGCGUGCUUAACACAUGCAAGUCGAACGGAAAGGCCCUGCUUUUGUGGGGUGCUCGAGUGGCGAACGGGUGAGUAACACGUGAGUAACCUGCCCUGGACUUUGGGAUAACUUCAGGAAACUGGGGCUAAUACCGGAUAGGAGCUCCUGCUGCAUGGUGGGGGUUGGAAAGUUUCGGCGGUUGGGGAUGGACUCGCGGCUUAUCAGCUUGUUGGUGGGGUAGUGGCUUACCAAGGCUUUGACGGGUAGCCGGCCUGAGAGGGUGACCGGCCACAUUGGGACUGAGAUACGGCCCAGACUCCUACGGGAGGCAGCAGUGGGGGAUAUUGCACAAUGGGCGGAAGCCUGAUGCAGCAACGCCGCGUGCGGGAUGACGGCCUUCGGGUUGUAAACCGCUUUCGCCUGUGACGAAGCGUGAGUGACGGUAAUGGGUAAAGAAGCACCGGCUAACUACGUG